rnacentral:rRNA from 1 species
GACGAACGCUGGCGGCGUGCCUAAUACAUGCAAGUCGAGCGGAAUGAUGAAGAAGCUUGCUUCUUCUGAUUUUAGCGGCGGACGGGUGAGUAACACGUGGGCAACCUACCUUGUAGAUUGGGAUAACUCCGGGAAACCGGGGCUAAUACCGAAUAAUCCAUUUUGCUUCAUGGCGAGAUGUUGAAAGACGGUUUCGGCUGUCACUACAAGAUGGGCCCGCGGCGCAUUAGCUAGUUGGUAGGGUAAUGGCCUACCAAGGCGACGAUGCGUAGCCGACCUGAGAGGGUGAUCGGCCACACUGGGACUGAGACACGGCCCAGACUCCUACGGGAGGCAGCAGUAGGGAAUCUUCCACAAUGGACGAAAGUCUGAUGGAGCAACGCCGCGUGAGUGAAGAAGGUUUUCGGAUCCUAAAACUCUGUUGUAAGGGAAGAACACGUACGAGAGUAACUGCUCGUACCUUGACGGUACCUUAUUAGAAAGCCACGGCUAACUACGUG